rnacentral:rRNA from 1 species
GACGAACACUGGCGGCGUGCUUAACACAUGCAAGUCGAACGGAAAGGCCCUGCUUGCAGGGUACUCGAGUGGCGAACGGGUGAGUAACACGUGGGUGAUCUGCCCUGCACUUCGGGAUAAGCCUGGGAAACUGGGUCUAAUACCGGAUAGGAGCCAUUUUUAGUGUGAUGGUUGGAAAGUUUUUUCGGUGUAGGAUGAGCUCGCGGCCUAUCAGCUUGUUGGUGGGGUAAUGGCCUACCAAGGCGGCGACGGGUAGCCGGCCUGAGAGGGUGGACGGCCACAUUGGGACUGAGAUACGGCCCAGACUCCUACGGGAGGCAGCAGUGGGGAAUAUUGCACAAUGGGCGCAAGCCUGAUGCAGCGACGCCGCGUGGGGGAUGACGGCCUUCGGGUUGUAAACUCCUUUCGCUAGGGACGAAGCUUUUUGUGACGGUACCUAGAGAAGAAGCACCGGCUAACUACGUG